UGGUUUGUCUUGGGCUCGUUUCCCUGGAAACGGUUCCUGAGACGGGGAUGCUCAUGUGGGAGGCGUGAGGAGCUCUUGGGAACAACAUCCGUGGGGUGAAGGAAGCAGACUGGGUAAUGUGACUGUGACAGCGACCUCAGCAGAGGAGUAGGUCCCUUUACCACUCUCCCAACAAAACAAGCUUCUCUAGUACAGGGAAAGGAUGUACUGCGAUCCUUCAGCAGUGUUCCUGGCUGCUGGGGAAAUGUGUGCCUGGGAGCUGGUGCCGUGUACAGGCAUCUUGCAGGGGCCUCCCCGCAACGCACUCCAGCACUCCACGGACUGAGGCUAUCGAUAUACAAUAUGACUCUCUCUGGUGGUCCCGGGCAGUUCUGCAUCAGCCCUGUGGUCACGAUUGGAGGCCAGUUAUCCCAUCUUGAAGCAGGUUGGUACUUGGUGAUAAUCUUUACAUGUCCUCGUGAGCUCAAGUGCAAGACGCCUGCUGUUUGAAAGCCCAGUAGGGCUCCACCCUUAAGUGCUCCCACCCAACUUCAUAAGCCGUGCUCUUGAGGUCCUGCCCUGUCCCUGUGCAGUGUUUCAUUCAGCCUGGAUACAGUUCCAAGAGGUGUCCCACAAUACCUUGCCAUGGAGAUAUGGUUUUCCUCCGAUACCUGCCAGAAGAAUCAUGUCCACGGUGUAGGCUCUUCUCUCCCCUUCAGUGAGGGAGAAGUCCCAUUUCUUGUCUAAGAGGCGACAACCCAGGUACUGGGAACAAGAAAUGUGGCUUGGAACCUAAGGCAUGCAGCCUCACAUUUACCCUCUGUUAAUCACAGAGCCAAGAGGAGGUCCGGAAGGUCCAGAGGCUGAGGCAGGGGUUAUUUAUUGAGCUUCCAAGGCCAGCCUGGAUUACACAGCAAAACCCUCCAACAAAUAAGUCAACAAACAAGAUUCCAGAAGGAUCUGAGCAACAGUCAUUGGCAAAUGCAGGGCAGAGGGAUGGGAUGUGUUUUCCUGUCUUCCAGUACUCAUCACCCAUGACUCUUCUAGGAUGGACUGAUUCCACUUAAAAGAAAGAAGAAGAAGAAGAAGGAGGAGGAGGAGGAGGAGGAGGAGGAGGAGGAGGAGAAGAAGAAGAAGAAGAAGAAGGAGAAGAAGAAGUAGUCCAGAGAGGCUGGGGACUCCCUCUGUGAAAGUCCUAGAGAUGCUGGGCAUGGGGUUCCCUUAAGGGUUUUCCACAUUUGUUCUGUGGCCUGCCCCACCCAAGUAGAUUUCUUCUGCUACCUCCCCAUCAUACUGGUUCCUGCUUUUGUGUGUGUGUGUGUGUGUGUGUGUGUGUGUGUGUGUGUGUGUGUGUGUGGUCUAGCUCAGCGUCUUGGCAUCUGUUUCCUCAUCUACAUACAGCUAGGGCUGGUGGAGGGACUAAUGAAUAAAAAGGUGCCAGCCAGAUGAGUUCUCACUGAUGCCAAAUACCUCAGGUUUGGGAGAUAUCUUAGCGGUGUUAGUUACAUAC